rnacentral:rRNA from 1 species
CACUAUCGUUAACUGAAUACAUAGGUUAACGAGGCGAACCGGGGGAACUGAAACAUCUAAGUACCCCGAGGAAAAGAAAUCAACCGAGAUUCCCCCAGUAGCGGCGAGCGAACGGGGAGCAGCCCAGAGUCUGAAUCAGCUUGUGUGUUAGUGGAACGGUCUGGAAAGUCCGACGGUACAGGGUGAUAGUCCCGUACACCAAAAUGCACAGGCUGUGAACUCGAAGAGUAGGGCGGGACACGUGGUAUCCUGUCUGAAUAUGGGGGGACCAUCCUCCAAGGCUAAAUACUCCUGACUGACCGAUAGUGAACCAGUACCGUGAGGGAAAGGCGAAAAGAACCCCGGCGAGGGGAGUGAAAAAGAACCUGAAACCGUGUACGUACAAGCAGUGGGAGCACCUUCGGGUGUGACUGCGUACCUUUUGUAUAAUGGGUCAGCGACUUAUAUUCUGUAGCAAGGUUAACCGUAUAGGGGAGCCGCAGGGAAACCGAGUCUUAACUGGGCGUUAAGUUGCAGGGUAUAGACCCGAAACCCGGUGAUCUAGCCAUGGGCAGGUUGAAGGUUGGGUAACACUAACUGGAGGACCGAACCGACUAAUGUUGAAAAAUUAGCGGAUGACUUGUGGCUGGGGGUGAAAGGCCAAUCAAACCGGGAGAUAGCUGGUUCUCCCCGAAAGCUAUUUAGGUAGCGCCUCGUGAAUUCAUCUUCGGGGGUAGAGCACUGUUUCGGCUAGGGGGUCAUCCCGACUUACCAACCCGAUGCAAACUACGAAUACCGAAGAAUGUUAUCACGGGAGACACACGGCGGGUGCUAACGUCCGUCGUGAAGAGGGAAACAACCCAGACCGCCAGCUAAGGUCCCAAAGUCAUGGUUAAGUGGGAAACGAUGUGGGAAGGCACAGACAGCCAGGAUGUUGGCUUAGAAGCAGCCAUCAUUUAAAGAAAGCGUAAUAGCUCACUGGUCGAGUCGGCCUGCGCGGAAGAUGUAACGGGGCUAAACCAUGCACCGAAGCUGCGGCAGCGACACUAUGUGUUGUUGGGUAGGGGAGCGUUCUGUAAGCCUGCGAAGGUGACCUGUGAGGGUUGCUGGAGGUAUCAGAAGUGCGAAUGCUGACAUAAGUAACGAUAAAGCGGGUGAAAAGCCCGCUCGCCGGAAGACCAAGGGUUCCUGUCCAACGUUAAUCGGGGCAGGGUGAGUCGACCCCUAAGGCGAGGCCGAAAGGCGUAGUCGAUGGGAAACAGGUUAAUAUUCCUGUACUUGGUGUUACUGCGAAGGGGGGACGGAGAAGGCUAUGUUAGCCGGGCGACGGUUGUCCCGGUUUAAGCAUGUAGGCUGGUUGUCCAGGCAAAUCCGGAUAAUCAAGGCUGAGGUGUGAUGACGAGGCACUACGGUGCUGAAGUAACAAAUGCCCUGCUUCCAGGAAAAGCCUCUAAGCAUCAGGUAACAUUNNNNNNNNNNNNNNNNNNNNNNNNNNNNNNNNNNNNNNNNNNNNNNNNNNNNNNNNNNNNNNNNNNNNNNNNNNNNNNNNNNNNNNNNNNNNNNNNNNUAAAUCGUACCCCAAACCGACACAGGUGGUCAGGUAGAGAAUACCAAGGCGCUUGAGAGAACUCGGGUGAAGGAACUAGGCAAAAUGGUGCCGUAACUUCGGGAGAAGGCACGCUGGUGUGUAGGUGAAGUCCCUGCGGAUGGAGCUGAGACCAGUCGAAGAUACCAGCUGGCUGCAACUGUUUAUUAAAAACACAGCACUGUGCAAACACGAAAGUGGACGUAUACGGUGUGACGCCUGCCCGGUGCCGGAAGGUUAAUUGAUGGGGUUAUCCGUAAGGAGAAGCUCUUGAUCGAAGCCCCGGUAAACGGCGGCCGUAACUAUAACGGUCCUAAGGUAGCGAAAUUCCUUGUCGGGUAAGUUCCGACCUGCACGAAUGGCGUAAUGAUGGCCAGGCUGUCUCCACCCGAGACUCAGUGAAAUUGAACUCGCUGUGAAGAUGCAGUGUACCCGCGGCAAGACGGAAAGACCCCGUGAACCUUUACUAUAGCUUGACACUGAACAUUGAGCCUUGAUGUGUAGGAUAGGUGGGAGGCUUUGAAGCGUGGACGCCAGUCUGCGUGGAGCCAACCUUGAAAUACCACCCUUUAAUGUUUGAUGUUCUAACGUUGGCCCCUGACCGGGGUUGCGGACAGUGUCUGGUGGGUAGUUUGACUGGGGCGGUCUCCUCCCAAAGCGUAACGGAGGAGCACGAAGGUUAGCUAAUCCUGGUCGGACAUCAGGAGGUUAGUGCAAUGGCAUAAGCUAGCUUGACUGCGAGCGUGACGGCGCGAGCAGGUGCGAAAGCAGGUCAUAGUGAUCCGGUGGUUCUGAAUGGAAGGGCCAUCGCUCAACGGAUAAAAGGUACUCCGGGGAUAACAGGCUGAUACCGCCCAAGAGUUCAUAUCGACGGCGGUGUUUGGCACCUCGAUGUCGGCUCAUCACAUCCUGGGGCUGAAGUAGGUCCCAAGGGUAUGGCUGUUCGCCAUUUAAAGUGGUACGCGAGCUGGGUUUAGAACGUCGUGAGACAGUUCGGUCCCUAUCUGCCGUGGGCGCUGGAGAAUUGAGGGGGGCUGCUCCUAGUACGAGAGGACCGGAGUGGACGCAUCACUGGUGUUCGGGUUGUCAUGCCAAUGGCACUGCCCGGUAGCUAAAUGCGGAAGAGAUAAGUGCUGAAAGCAUCUAAGCACGAAACUUGCCCCGAGAUGAGUUCUCCCUGAGACUUUAAGUCUCCUGAAGGAACGUUGAAGACGACGACGUUGAUAGGCCGGGUGUGUAAGCGCAGCGAUGCGUUGAGCUAACCGGUACUAAUGAACCGUGAGGCUUAACCUUACAACGCCGAAG